rnacentral:rRNA from 1 species
GAUGAACGCUGGCGGCGUGCCUAAUACAUGCAAGUCGAGCGAAAAGACGAGGAGCUUGCUACUCUGACGUUAGCGGCGGACGGGUGAGUAACACGUGGAUAACCUACCUAUAAGACUGGGAUAACUUCGGGAAACCGGAGCUAAUACCGGAUAAUAUAUUGAACCGCAUGGUUCAAUAGUGAAAGACGGUUUUGCUGUCACUUAUAGCUGGCUCCGCGCCGUAUUGGCUAGUUGGUAAGGUAACGGCUUCCCAAGGCAGCGAUGCGUAGCCGACCUGAGAGGGUGAUCGGCCACACUGGGACUGAGACGCGGUCCUGACACCUACGGGAGGCAGCAGUAGGUAAGGGUCCGCAAUGGGCGAAAGCUUGACGGAGCAACGCCGCGUUAGUGAUGAAGGGCUGCGGAUCGGAAAACUCUGUUAGGAGUGAAGACCAAUUGUGGAAGGAACUAUGCACGUCGUGACGGUACCUAAUCAGAAAGCAACGGCUAACUACGUG